rnacentral:rRNA from 1 species
GGACUACACGGGUAUCUAAUCCUGUUUGCUCCCCAUGCUUUCGCGCCUCAGCGUCAGUAUGUAUCCAGUAAGUCGCCUUCGCCACUGGUGUUCUUUCCGAUAUCUACGCAUUUCACCGCUACACCGGAAAUUCCACUUACCUCUAUACUACUCAAGCAUCACAGUCUUAAAUGCAGUUCCCAAGUUAAGCUCGGGGAUUUCACAUCUAACUUAUCAUACCGCCUACGCGCCCUUUACGCCCAGUAAUUCCGAUUAACGCUCGCACCCUCUGUAUUACCGCGGCUGCUGGCAC